UGGGGAAUAUUGCACAAUGGGCGCAAGCCUGAUGCAGCAACGCCGCGUGAACGAUGAAGGACUUCGGAUCGUAAAGUUCUGUUGCAGGGGAAGAUAAUGACGGUACCCUGUGAGGAAGCCCCGGCUAACUACGUGCCAGCAGCCGCGGUAAUACGUAGGGGGCUAGCGUUAUCCGGAUUUACUGGGCGUAAAGGGUGCGUAGGUGGUCUUUCAAGUCGGUGGUUAAAGGCUACGGCUCAACCGUAGUUAGCCUCCGAAACUGGAAGACUUGAGUGCAGGAGAGGAAAGUGGAAUUCCCAGUGUAGCGGUGAAAUGCGUAGAUAUUGGGAGGAACACCAGUAGCGAAGGCGGCUUUCUGGACUGCAACUGACACUGAGGCACGAAAGCGUGGGUAGCAAACAGG
rnacentral:rRNA from 1 species